CAGUCGUGGGGCAGCAUGAAGUAGCAAUACUUUGAUGGCGACCGGCAAACGGGUGCGGAACACGUACACAACCUUCCUUUUAGUGGGGAAUAGCCCAGAGAAAUUUGGAUUAAUACCCCGUAACAUAGCGAUGUGGCAUCACAUUGCUAUUAUAGCUUCGGCGCUAGAUGAUGGGUGUGCGUAUGAUUAGAUAGUUGGCGAGGUAACGGCUCACCAAGUCUACGAUCAUUAGCUGAUGUGAGAGCAUGAUCAGCCACACGGGCACUGAGACACGGGCCCGACUCCUACGGGAGGCAGCAGUAAGGAAUAUUGGUCAAUGGACGAAAGUCUGAACCAGCCAUGCCGCGUGAAGGAUUAAGGUCCUCUGGAUUGUAAACUUCUUUUAUAUGGGACGAAAAAAGGUCUUUCUAGAUCACUUGACGGUACCAUAUGAAUAAGCACCGGCUAACUCCGUGCCAGCAGCCGCGGUAAUACGGAGGGUGCAAGCGUUAUCCGGAUUCACUGGGUUUAAAGGGUGCGUAGGCGGGCAGGUAAGUCAGUGGUGAAAUCCUGGAGCUCAACUCCAGAACUGCCAUUGAUACUAUCUGUCUUGAAUAUUGUGGAGGUAAGCGGAAUAUGUCAUGUAGCGGUGAAAUGCUUAGAUAUGACAUAGAACACCCAUUGCGAAGGCAGCUUACUACGCAUAUAUUGACGCUGAGGC
rnacentral:rRNA from 1 species